GGGGGGGGCAAGCGUUGUUCGGAAUUACUGGGCGUAAAGGGCUCGUAGGCGGCCAACUAAGUCAGACGUGAAAUCCCCAGGCUCAACCUGGGAACUGCGUCUGAUACUGGAUGGCUUGAAUCCGGGAGAGGGAUGCGGAAUUCCAGGUGUAGCGGUGAAAUGCGUAGAUAUCUGGAGGAACACCGGUGGCGAAGGCGGCAUCCUGGACCGGUAUUGACGCUGAGGAGCGAAAGCCAGGGGAGCAAACGGGAUUAGAUACCCCGGUAGUCCUGGCCCUAAACGAUGAAUGCUUGGUGUGACGGGUAUCGAUCCCUGUCGUGCCGAAGCUAACGCAUUAAGCAUUCCGCCUGGGGAGUACGGUCGCAAGGCUGAA
rnacentral:rRNA from 1 species